GUAUAGUUUACACUCUCAACAAAGGGAAACUGUUUUCUUUUCUUGACCUUUAUAUAAUCUUCAAGUAAAUGGAAAAUUGUAGUUCUUAAUCAUUACUUGGACAAAAGUCAUACAAGCAAGUAUUAUUUAUGGUGUUAAUUUCCUAGAAGAUAUGUUGCAGUGGGAUAAUUUACCCUGUGAAGAAAAAGCUGUGGUUGCCUAGGAAUCAUGGCCACUUUCAGGCUGUAGAAAUGGAUGGUGCCCAGUGUUACAAAUAUAAUUUUUCCUGUUAUAAUCUGGUUCCAGGUUGACUAGAUGUCAGAUAAAGGGAGAAAAGCAAGCAGAAUGUCUCCUCUGAUAAACCCACAUUAAUUAGUGUUGUGGACCAAUCAUCAGCACUCUUCACUCUAAUCUUUGCCAAUGUCAGCUGCUCUAAGUCCUGAAUACUCAUGAGACAUUGGAUUCCUUCUGGAGACAGUAUUAACUUGCUUUCCUCUUUAUCAGCAUAAUGUAGAAAUUGAAAAAGGGAUUCUAUUUUGAUAUCUAUCAUACCAAUGGUCAAGUGAAGUGAGAGAGAAAAUGACAAAUUCAUUUAUUUAAGCUAAUACAUGCAGUUCCUAAAGUCACAGAAAAGAGAUCAAAAGCAAGAUAGUCAUGUCUUAGUUAAAGAAGUUCCAGUGAAGGUCCUAUAGAAGCUCACUGUAAGUGUUUAAUGAGAUCCUUGAUGGAGAUCAAAAAGAACUACUUAAAAGAGAUUUUCAACCCAAAAUAGUCAGUGUUAUUUUUUUUAACUAUUUCUUUUGUGAAAAGCUAUCUAAGAGAGUUGUUCUAAAAACAACAGAAGCAAAAUGGAUGAACAAAACAAAUAUUUAAAUCCGAAAGGAACAACGUAAAAAUCAGAGUGAAGAUUCAUGCACUGAGCAAAUGGAUUAGAUAUUAGGAUACUGAAUGUUGAGAGAGUUAGGUGAAGGAGAAUAUAAAGGUGGUGAGGUGUUCUCCCCCAAUUAAGUAAGUGGUAUUCCUGUUCUAUGUUGUUGCAUUCAAUUUAGAAGUCAGAGUUGUGAUGGGCUUCUUAUCUGAGGUCUAGUUUAAUGAACAUGGCCAUGAAACCUAACUCCAACCUUCUACUCUUGGCUUUCACUCUGGUUAUGAUUUCCAUUAUUUUUGCUGCUGACCACUUCGUUUUUGCUUAUUUCAUUGAGUUCACUGAUUCCCCAGUUUCCUUGCCUGGUUGGUUUCCAUUGCCUUCUCUACUUGAUGCUUUUGUUCAUCUAUCUGAAUCUGAGCUUCCUCCAACUAUUGUGUAAAGAAGCUGAUACCCACUGACAAUGAAGGCUAUUUAGAUAACAGGUUAAGAGGAAAUUGAAUGUGUUUUAAGAUCCCUUUCACAAUCAGAAGGUGCUAGCCAUCUAUUCCUUAAAGUUCGAAAGCUGAAAUGCAUCUCUUGUAAUCUUUG
rnacentral:lncRNA from 1 species